rnacentral:lncRNA from 1 species
UUUUUCACUUUCCUCUUUCACUUUCAUCAAGAGGCUUAUUAGUUCCUCUACACUUUCUGCCAUAAGGGUGGUGUCAUCUGCAUAUCUGAGGUUAUUGAUAUUUCUCCAGGCAAUCUUGAUUCCAGCUUGUGCUUCUUCCAGCCCAGCGUUCCUCAUGAUAUACGUAGUGGCUCUAUAAUUCCCCUUCUUAGGACUUCCCUGAAAACCCCAUAAUUUUACAGUUCUUAUGACUGUUCGCCUGAUCUGGUGUUCAGAGCCAAAAAAUGACAUUGGUGUCAACUAAGAAUUCGACAGUGUUUUUGCUCCAUAUCAAAUGUCAGCCAGGGCUCCUUAAGGGGUCAUUGGGAGUGCCAGUGUAGGAGCCUCCUGGCUCUGUCAUUCUUCAUCUCUUUGGAUCAUUCGCUGUCAAGGGUAGUAGUUGAGAUCUGCCAUUUCUACCCCUUUGGAGGGAUCAUGAGGACAUUCUCUCUUUCCUGUUUACUUAUGUGUACUUAUGGCACACUGAUUAGGUCCUGGUUUCCUUGGCUUUCUAUCCCUUAUUGGGGGCUGAGUUUACUCACCAGGGUUAAAACGUCUCUGGACAGUUAGUCCAGAUUCCCAUGCUCACCGGUUGACACUGGAGGAAAAUAGCCAGGUCUUUCCUACAGGCCUUUUUAUUGUUUGCCUCUUGAGAGCCUCUCACAGGUCUCCCCAGCCCACUUCAGAGAAACUCAUGCUGACCAGACAAGGUCAGGUCACUGGUCGCAUGCCUACCUUGGAACCCUUUCACACUCAGGUGUCCUUGAUGCUUUUUCCUGAACUUGCAUUGAGUGUCCUUGUUCUCUUCUGUCAUGCAUGCUCAUUACCUGGGCUUUUUCCUGGUUUCACCUCUUGACUCACAGGACUGCCCUUGCUCUUUCACUAAACUGGAAGUAACAAUGGAGAAUGCUACUGUUGACACCAGCGGUUGGCAAGGACAACAAAAAGCUGGUGCAGCCACUACACCGUGUACAGAGGUCAACAGGACAGCACUACUGAUAUGCGCCCAGGCAGGCUCAAUUUCUACUUGCAGUCAUGAUGUGAAUCAAACGUUACUGCAGGCCCAGCAUGGACCCAGAUUAUGUCACCCCCAGAGUGUCCACUGUGAUGAUCCAGAAGAUACUAGUAGUUUCUGGACUAGACACCACAGCAUUGGAGGAAAAACAGCCUUCAGCCCAAAGAAAAUUAUAUUGAGAGAAGACAUCGAAAGCCUUUUGAAGAAAAACUCAGAUUGCACAUGGGAUUGGUCAGGUUGGUUUGAAAAUGUCUCCCUGCCCCCGCAAAAGACUGCCUCUAAACAUUUUUUAAACAUAAUCCAAAGCACACAGCCUCUCCCAGCAGGAGGAACAUGUGUGUUAGGAUGA